rnacentral:rRNA from 1 species
ACCAGACUCCUACGGGAGGCAGCAGUGGGGAAUAUUGCACAAUGGGGGGGAACCCUGAUGCAGCGACGCCGCGUGGGUGAAGGAGUACUUCGGUACGUAAAGCCCUAUCAGCAGGAAAGAAAAUGACGGUACCUGACUAAGAAGCCCCGGCUAACUACGUGCCAGCAGCCGCGGUAAUACGUAGGGGGCAAGCGUUAUCCGGAUUUACUGGGUGUAAAGGGAGCGUAGACGGCAGUGCAAGUCCGGAGUGAAAGCCCGGGGCUCAACCCUGGGACUGCUCUGGAAACUGUAAAGCUGGAGUGCGGGAGGGGCAGGCGGAAUUCCUGGUGUAGCGGUGAAAUGCGUAGAUAUCAGGAGGAACACCGGCGGCGAAGGCGGCCUGCUGGACCGUAACUGACGUUGAGGCUCGAAAGCGUGGGGAGCAAACAGGAUUAGAUACCCUGGUAA